GCACCCUUAGCUCAGUUGGUAGAGCAACUGACUCUGAAUCAGUGGGUCUAGGGUUCGAGCCCCUAAGGGUGUA
rnacentral:tRNA from 1 species